UUGGACAGAUAUUGAGCGUGUUUCAGGUGUACUGAUUGUUCCUGUUCUUGUUCGUUGACUUAGGUACAUAUACUUGUGCUGCUUUCAGGUACCGUAAGACCAGACUUUGAGACUUUGCCGUGCUUAUUAGGUGCUUGUACUAAGGCAGGUACCGUAAGACCAGACUUGAGACUUAAGGCAGGUUGUUGAAACGUACUCAAGCAAAUAAGGGAUAAUGACUUGCAUGCUAGGACUAGACUUUGGAGAUUAAUGCUCCUUAACUUUGUCAGACUUUAAGGCUGCAUGCCUUGACUUACUUAUUGUUACGGACGUACUUCUAAUGAGCUUUUCUAGCAUUAUUCUUACUUUGAACUCAUAUUUUAGGAAUAUAUUUAUUAUAUUCU